rnacentral:ncRNA from 1 species
AAUGAUAAAGGGCAAACUCGUACGAAAGUCGGGGACGCAAAGCUACGAAUCUAAACUAGCCGAUGAUGGCUGGCAUGAUAGUCGGGCCGCUCAA